CCUCACUGGCAGGCUCUACGGGGAGCUCUAAGACAGGCAGGAUCGAGUAGCUGAGGUUCCACUGAGACCAGGACUAAUCCAGCCCUGCAGACUUGAUCCAAAGGACAUUAAUGCCUGUGGCAAAGCUCCCACUAACUUCAGCACAUGCUGGAUCUGCUCUUUAGACCUGGCUGCUGCAAACAAGCUCAUGCUUACGUUUGCAAUGGCUGCUCAAGAAACAGAGCUGGGAAGAACUCAGAAGAGACCUGCUUCAUCUUUAAGGCUUUUAAAGAGCAGCUGAUCUCUGACAUGUAGCUGUUUCUGUAUGGUUGCUAAUAUGCUGCUCUGGUUUUCUCUAAAUCCCAGCUACAUCACAUUCAUAUGUUUCUUUGGGGAUUUAAAAACAAACACUGAACCUUUUCCAGGCUGAUAUUUCUACCUCCCCCACUACAGCGUGAACUUUGCUUGCAUCACUGCCAACAUUUGUUCAUUUAAAACUAGGAAAUCUUACCCUGCUGGGGGAGCAGGUAGGAUUUGAUAUAUUCUGCCCUGCAAGGGAUGUGUACAAACACUUAUGCCAGGCACAAGGGGACAUAAGAAGUUGAAGAACUUCUUCAAAAUAAGAUUAUUGAACACUGCAUGUAUCAAGAC